UAGGGAAUCUUCCACAAUGGACGCAAGUCUGAUGGAGCAACGCGCGUGAGUGAAGAAGUCUUCGGAUCGUAAAGCUCUGUUGUUGGUGAAGAAGGAUAGAGGCAGUAACUGGUCUUUAUUUGACGGUAAUCAACCAGAAAGUCACGGCUAACUACGUGCCAGCAGCCGCGGUAAUACGUAGGUGGCAAGCGUUGUCCGGAUUUAUUGGGCGUAAAGCGAGCGCAGGCGGAAUGAUAAGUCUGAUGUGAAAGCCCACGGCUCAACCGUGGAACUGCAUCGGAAACUGUCAUUCUUGAGUGCAGAAGAGGAGAGUGGAACUCCAUGUGUAGCGGUGGAAUGCGUAGAUAUAUGGAAGAACACCAGUGGCGAAGGCGGCUCUCUGGUCUGCAACUGACGCUGAGGCUCGAAAGCAUGGGUAGCGAACAGGAUUAGAUACC
rnacentral:rRNA from 1 species